rnacentral:rRNA from 1 species
UGCAGUCGAACGAUGAACCACCUUCGGGUGGGGAUUAGUGGCGAACGGGUGAGUAACACGUGGGCAAUCUGCCCUGCACUCUGGGACAAGCCCUGGAAACGGGGUCUAAUACCGGAUACUGACCUGCCAAGGCAUCUUGGCGGGUCGAAAGCUCCGGCGGUGCAGGAUGAGCCCGCGGCCUAUCAGCUUGUUGGUGAGGUAAUGGCUCACCAAGGCGACGACGGGUAGCCGGCCUGAGAGGGCGACCGGCCACACUGGGACUGAGACACGGCCCAGACUCCUACGGGAGGCAGCAGUGGGGAAUAUUGCACAAUGGGCGAAAGCCUGAUGCAGCGACGCCGCGUGAGGGAUGACGGCCUUCGGGUUGUAAACCUCUUUCAGCAGGGAAGAAGCGAAAGUGACGGUACCUGCAGAAGAAGCGCCGGCUAACUACGUGCCAGCAGCCGCGGUAAUACGUAGGGCGCAAGCGUUGUCCGGAAUUAUUGGGCGUAAAGAGCUCGUAGGCGGCUUGUCGCGUCGGUUGUGAAAGCCCGGGGCUUAACCCCGGGUCUGCAGUCGAUACGGGCAGGCUAGAGUUCGGUAGGGGAGAUCGGAAUUCCUGGUGUAGCGGUGAAAUGCGCAGAUAUCAGGAGGAACACCGGUGGCGAAGGCGGAUCUCUGGGCCGAUACUGACGCUGAGGAGCGAAAGCGUGGGGAGCGAACAGGAUUAGAUACCCUGGUAGUCCACGCCGUAAACGGUGGGCACUAGGUGUGGGCAACAUUCCACGUUGUCCGUGCCGCAGCUAACGCAUUAAGUGCCCCGCCUGGGGAGUACGGCCGCAAGGCUAAAACUCAAAGGAAUUGACGGGGGCCCGCACAAGCGGCGGAGCAUGUGGCUUAAUUCGACGCAACGCGAAGAACCUUACCAAGGCUUGACAUACACCGGAAAGCACCAGAGAUGGUGCCCCCCUUGUGGUCGGUGUACAGGUGGUGCAUGGCUGUCGUCAGUUCGUGUCGUGAGAUGUUGGGUUAAGUCCUGUAACGAGCGCAACCCUUGUCCCGUGUUGCCAGCAACUCUUCGGAGGUUGGGGACUCACGGGAGACCGCCGGGGUCAACUCGGAGGAAGGUGGGGACGACGUCAAGUCAUCAUGCCCCUUAUGUCUUGGGCUGCACACGUGCUACAAUGGCCGGUACAAUGAGCUGCGAUACCGCAAGGUGGAGCGAAUCUCAAAAAGCCGGUCUCAGUUCGGAUUGGGGUCUGCAACUCGACCCCAUGAAGUCGGAGUCGCUAGUAAUCGCAGAUCAGCAUUGCUGCGGUGAAUACGUUCCCGGGCCUUGUACACACCGCCCGUCACGUCACGAAAGUCGGUAACACCCGAAGCCGGUGGCCCAACCCCUUGUGGGAGGGA